UACAUAUCACCUCACACUUCUUUUUAUCUAUAUGAAUCCACUCAUAUUCUUAUCAUCAUUAAAGUCACUCAUUGACGUCAUCUCCUCAACAUCAUGCCUUGGCCUACACACAUGGAUGUUGUGCAUCUCUUUGUUUGUUCACUUAUGUUUGGCAAGGAUGGAGCCGGCCAUUGUCUAUGCAUGGCAAUUUCGGCCAGCCAUUCCUCUCUAUUUUUCUUCCUCUACAAGACUUGCCUCCCAACUACCCCAAUCAAUAAAUGAGCAGCCUCCCAACCCACCCAAUCAAUGAGGAGGCAGCCACCAUCCUCCCUCUUUAUAAGGAGCUUGGCCGGCCACACCUCCUCUCCUUUGCCUCAUUUCUUUUCACUCCCUACUAUUUCCUCCACUCCCUCACACUCUCCUCCUCCACUUCCCCAUGAAAAUGGUGCUCCCCUUGCUCCCAUGGCCGGCCAUGGCCAUGGCAAGCCACCAAGAUGAAGCUCUCCCUCUCCCUCAAGCUCCUCCUCACCAUGAGAGCCUCCCUCUCCUUCUUCUCCCCAACCCUAGAUGGUUUUCUCUCCUCUUCUUCUUCCUCCCUUGCUAAGAUUGGAUCUUGAUGCAGGUGCAUGUUGGUCCAAGCAUGGAGAAGCUUGAGCUAUCCUCAGAUCUGAAGUUCUUGAGCAAAAUCCAAAUCGAGUGAUUCAAAGUUCCGCAGAUAGGUAUUGAAAAGAUCUACAACUUGGCGUUGGUCUCAUCCUCAAAUUUGUUACGGAUUUUGCACGAUCAAUAUCUGGUCAGAUCUGACUUUGUCGAAUUAAACCAGGAGCUUGGAAACUAAUUUUUGAAUGAAACCAACUGGGAUGUUAUCUACCAGGGGAUAUUUGGUUUAUACCAUGGUGAUACCCGAGAAAGGCAAUUGCUAAGUUGUGAUACUCUCAUACCUUUACUAGAUGCGAACGAUUCCGGAGAAGAAGAAGAAGUGGUUCGGACAAGGAUUUUAUUUAUAUUGACGAGAUUCUUAUAUUGAUGAAGUUGAAGAAGUCCAGGGACAAAUAAGCCAA